rnacentral:lncRNA from 1 species
ACCCUCACACCCACACCACCCUCACACCCACACCACCUUCGCUGUCCGCUGUCCACAGCCCAGCCGUCCCAACCCUCACGGCAUCCGCGCCAGGUCACGCACCCAGAGCCCUUGUGCUUUGCCUCACGCUGCUGAAUCAACCCGGCCACAUGUCGGCUCGUGUGGUUGGAGUCUAAGCUUUGGGCAACCUCCCAUGAUGUCACUGAGGACCUGGGAGCUUCCAUGCCUCUACUCAAAGGUCCACAGAGUUGGCUUGUCCUGACAGGGGUUCCUGUUGUGGUUCUCAGGUGCCCUCUCUGUGUCUCCUCUCACGUCUCCCUGGCUCAUUCCGGAACAAUCACCACGAGAGGGAUGGGGUCACCGUUAAUGAAACAGACUCACCCUGGAGCUGGGAGAGCCAUCAGCGUCCACGAGGACACUGAUCUGUGUGGGAGGAAGGAGGCAGGAGGAUUGGACGCCGGGCGGCCACCAACAAUGCCACCAACAGUGCCACCAACAAUGCCACCAACAGUGCCACCAACAAUGCCACCAACAGUGCCACCAACAGUGCCACCAACAAUGCCACCAACAGCGUUAUCAGACCCCUGGCUUCCUGCAGGGACGUGGUCCCAACGUGCACUGCGGCCCAAGGACACUGUCAGCCGGCUCCCUUACUGGACUCUGAGACGCCCGGGAAAACCCAAAAGAACGUGUUCGAUGCCUACAAGGAAACAACGACUGCCUGAGGGACACGACGGGCACAGAUUAAAUGGAGAGUGAGCAUGAAAGGGAGAAACCACGGCAAAGAUUUGAUCAUCCCCAGAUUAAUCAGCAUAAAAGCGUGUGGUGCGUUGACACACGUUGCACCGUCAAGCAGUUGGGACAGAGCGGGCUCGCGUUUGACCAGACUUCACUGAGAACUGAACCCGGCUCACAGGCGUCCACCCCGGGGGCGUGAGGGAACUGACCGCACACUCGCCUCGGGCUUCACGCAGAAUGAAGCUGGCGUCUCCCCCCACCGCUCAUGUGCCUUCUGUGUUGUGACCCGUAGCUGACACAGGUGGGUCAGGACGCCAUGUGCGUCAGUCCAGAGCAGCGGCAGGAAUAUUCCCGAAAACCAAGACGACCCGGGAAGCCAGCUCGGCACUAAAGUGACCGUUACCUUCAACACGUCCCACUGAACCCAAAACUGCCCUCGGCCCCUGAACACGAGGAGAGAGAUGGCUCCACAAAUUGACAGAAUCUCGUGAUCACGGGAGCACCUGGCUGCAGCGUGGAGGAGGCCCAAGGGGGACGUCUAGUGUCUGUGUGAGGCCGCAGAACUGCGGGACCCCAGGCAUGCGAGCCUGCAAUGUUGCUGGUGGUUGCCAUUGCUCUCACGUGGGGCACAGUUCACGCCCAGACGCAGACGGUGAGAGCUGCCGAGAGCCACAUCCCAGCGACGCCUGUUGUCAGAGGGGCUCCGAGACGGCGUCUCCACUUGGUUCCAGUCGGCAGUGACGCUGAGCACCCUCAGGAGCCCGGCGGCCCCGGCCCCUCCUUGUGAUUGCCUGUCCCGUUUGCUCUCCCCCGGUUGUCGUUUCCUAACUCUUUGGUCCGUCUGUCCGUCCGUGUGCUCUCCAUCUCGAAGCCCCACAGCAGUCGCGCCCAUUGCAGACAUUCCCUCCAGGCUGACCUUUGACCUUUGUGGUCCCUUCAGCGCUUCCCUCACAGCUCGGGGGGGUCUGUCUCUGGGCUGCAAAGGUGUCAGCCCUUGUUUCCUUUACAGGGUUUGAAAGGUUUGCUUUUCGUACGUAAGCCUUUAAAUCUGGCUGGAAUAAUUGUGAGCGAUGUGAGGUGGGGAGGUGAGCUUGUGUGUCUUUCCCACGUGGACACCCAGUUCCACUCCUGUAGUGUUUUCCCCACAAGUGCUCUUGCCCGCUGUGCUGUGCGCCUGCUUUCCCGGCUCCGCCCAGGGCUGUUCCUGGGCGUCUCUUCCACCCUCUGAGCCGUCGGUGUCGCCCUGUGACCGCACCUCUCCCCCCUCCCCCGGUCUCUGAGGCUGACCCCUGCGGCCUGCCUGCCAUCCGCACACCUGCACAGCCGCUCAGCCGCUCUCGUCUGCCUCAGCUCACGUCCCGCGUCACUCCCGAUGCCAUUCAGUUGUUCUUUCCCAAUGUUUCCAGCAGUCUCCCUAGAAGUCGAUCUAGUUAAUGUGUUUUCCCCAAAGAGCCAAUUUCAUGUGUGUAGCUUACUUUCACUGGCUUUUGAGUUUUCUAUUUACUACAGUGUCCACCUUCGAUGUUUAUCAUUGUUCCUAUUUCCUGUCUCCUCGUUGUCCACGCUCUGGCCGCUCUCAUUUCACGGUUUCUCGUCCUGUCUCGUCUCCAGGCGUCCUCAUCACGCUCCUCUUCUAAAGCGUCUUCACUCGUCCUGCUCCCCGGAGUGAGUUCCGGUCCAGACCGCUCACCUUGAGCCUGUCUCUCUUCACCUGGUCUUGCUGUGGGUGAUUUGGAGCGUGGGGCACCAGCUCCCUUUCGGGCGGGAUGCAGAACCCACGCAGGCUUGCCCCUCUGUCACCUUGUUGUCAUCGUGCUCCGUCUGCCAGUUUUGUCGUAGCCUCUGCCUCCCACUCCCGGCCCAGGCGUCUGUUCUGCUGCCCGACAGGGGGGUGUGGGGACUCACAGAGAAAGUCACUGCUCGGAGGACGGCUCGUCUCCCGUCUGCUUUGGAGGUGACAUCACGUCCUCUCACCUGCCGGGCCAGGGCUGCAGCCCCACUCACCAGGCUGUGCUGCUCCUGCGUCCUGAUUUGAUGUGUGUGUGUGAGCAUGUAUGUAUGUGCAUGUCUGAGUGAAUGAGUGUGAGUGUGUAUGCAUGUGUGUAUCUGUGUGCAUGCAUAUGUGCUUAUGUGUAUGCAUAUGUGUCUGUGUGUGAAUGUGUAUGCAUAUGUGUAAACGUGUAUGUGUGUGUGAAUGCGUGUCUCUGUGUAUGCGUAUCUCUGUGUGUAUGCACGCAUGUGUGAAUGUGUGUCUGUGUAUACGUAUGUGUGCACGCGUGUGUCCGUGUGUAUGCACAUGUGUAUGCAUGUGUGCCUAUGUAUGCAUGUGUGUGUGCACGUGUGUGUGAAUGUGUGUGUGUAUACAUAUGUUCACAUUUCCAUCUACGUGUCCUGGUUUGCAUUCUUUAUCUCUCAUCUGCUGCUCCUCUGUACAUGGAGCAGAGAGGGUGUGUCAAAGUGACUACUUAUUGCACAUCUUGUCAGGAGUGUAGACAUGCUCUUUAAACACACCCGUCGUCACGCUCACAUAGUAGGUCCCUCUUUCUUGAUGCUGAAUCUGAAGUUAAGUAGCCUAACCCAGGAGGGCCAGCUGUAACCAAGCCCGUGGCUCUAAGGUCCAGCCCACAUCCUCUCUGGCAGCGAGCUGGUCAGCCCAGCCUGCGGUGACGGGCGGGAGGGGGGCCGCUGGCACCGCUCACGUCCCUCGGUGCCUCUGCUCACGGAAGCCUCCACUCCUGCACUCCGACUGCCCCUCCUCGAUGCUGCCUGCAGAUCCGUCCCUCUAGAUGGUGGCGCUGCCUCGAUGACCCUUCGUGGUUAACCAGAGCCGUUCAGCAACGUCCAACAAUACUGACAUUUCAUCUGCUCCACUGCGGAACUGGCCACGGUUUAUGGCCAGGAAGGGAUUGUCAAUUGUCUGUGCCAAGUUCCCGUGGGACCCUGGGCCAGCGGGUAUAAAGGGUGGCUGUGUGAGAGGCCGGCACAGCCUCUCCGACCCCAGCAAGUGACCUGUCAGGUGGCCGUGAGCACAGACCCCUGGAGAUGAAGACCCUGCUCCUGACCAUCGGCCUCAGCCUCAUUGCUGCCCUGCAGGCCAAGGACCCCCUGGCCUUGGGCGAGGAGACUCCGGACGUGAGGCUCAGAUGGGGCAGGCUGGCUGGAGGCGGCGUGGGGAGGGGCAGAGACACUCAUUUUAGGAUCAGGCAUUAACCCCUGGCCCUGAGGGAAUGGUCAGACAGAGGAGUCUGUGCCCGAUGGUCCCAGGAUGCAGAGGGCCCCUGGGAGCAAGGGCACCGGUGGUCUCGCUGACCUGCAGGGGCCCGGAGCCGGCAUCUGGGUCUCAGGGAAAUGGUAUCUGAAGGCCGUGACCGCUGACCAGGAGAUUCCCGGGGAGAAGCCUGAGUUGGUGACUCCCAUGAUCCUCACGGUCCUGGAGGGGGGCAACCUGGAGGCCAAAGCGACCGUGAAGGUGAGGGGUCAGUGCCAGGAGACGAAACUGGUGCUGGAGAAAACCAAUGAGCCCGGCAAAUACACGGCCGACGAGGGCAGGCGCGUGGUGCACAUCUCGCCGUCGAACGUGAUGGACCACUACGUUCUUUACUGUGAAGGCGAGCUCCGGGGGAAGCAGAUCCGGAUGGCGAAGCUCGUGGGAAGAGACGCGGAGAACAACCAGGGGGCCCUGGAGGAUUUUAAGACGUUCGCGAGAGACAAAGGGUUCGACCCGGAGAAGAUCUUCACGCUCACGCCCCAUGAAACCUGCUCUCCAGGAAGCGAUUAGGGACGAGGGGGCACCGGGGCUCCACAGCAGCCCUGAGGCGGCAGCACCAGGACCCUCCAUCCUGAAGGACACAGACAGAGUCCCUGACCAGGAGCCUGGGUCACCUCCUGCCACCCUUCCUGCACCUCCACCCCCUCCUCCCCCGCCCUGCAUCCCCCUCCUGGUUCCGCAUAAAGAGCUUCAGCAGUUCCUGGUGCCUCUGCCUGUCUGUGGGUCCAUCGGGUGGACCGGGAAUGGGGAGGAUGUAGGCAAGCUGGGGCGGGCACAGCAGGAGGACCCAGCAGCGUCCUGGUUCCCUCUGGUGGAUGGUGCAGUCCAAUGGGCAUGAGGGUCCAGGCGGAGGGGGUAGGUGCUGCCACUCUGCCCGAGGGUCCUCUGGGGGCUUUCUGCAGGUCUGGUGCCCACCAAUCCAGGUUCUGGUGGUGGUCUGUUUGGGGAGAGGGGGCGUGAGGGUGACAGGGUUGGCUCCAGCCUCGAGGCGGGAACAUGUGUGCGGU